GUGUGAGCUCCGCUUUCUUCCUCACUCCCUGAUUGGCUGUAGGGAAGUCAGGAGCAAUUUCACCUUAAAGGGAUAGCGGCACGGAAUUUGACGGAGAGCGAGUUUGCUCAGAGUAAGCGGGAUAGGGGAUCGGGGAUCGGGGGCCAGGCGGGACAGGGCAGGGUCGAAAUUAUGCUUUCUGUCACCCAGGUCAAAGACCCAGUUUGGCACCCCACCCCUCCCCGGAUGCGUGUUUGCGUACAUACACAUACAAACAAACGAACACCUCCCCCAACACAUUUAUUCAUAAAGGGCAUAAAAAGCAGGCAAUAUAUAAUUUGAAUACAAAGGAAUCCUAAGAAGUAUUAUGACUGUAUGACCAAAGGGAAAAUGAGCAUCUCUUCCAGUAAAAGCAAAUUGUUUGUCAAAAGUAGAACUGCCAUGUGCAGCAAUUGUCUAUCUGUGGUCAGGUUUUUAAUUGGAUUUAUUUGGUCACAGGAUCAUUAAAAGACUAUAUUUCCAUAAGGUCAUCCAAGACCCUCUGGUUUGCUUUUAAAAUGUUUUUGCUCGCCUCUUUGAGGCUUUUUUCCAUCCACCCCUUGUGCAAACCCUUUCAAUGAGUUUUGACGUGUAAAUUACUCCCGAGUAAGCUUCAAAAAGAUUCAUUUCAAUUUUAUUUUUGUUUUAUUACUAAUUUUAGGAAAUGAUAAUUUUGUAGUCAUUUUAGGUUCCAUGUAAGGUGAAAGAGGGAAGCGGGUGGCGCUGUGGGUUAAACCACAGAGCCUAGGACUUGCCAAUCAGAAUGCUGGCCACAUGACCCAGAAGCUGUAUGCCGGCUCCCAUGUCCAAUAAAGCGAGAUGAGCGCCACAACCCCAGAGUCGGCCACGACUGGAUGUAAUAGUCAGGGGUCCUUUACCUUUCAGGUGAAAUGAAUGCUUUUUGCGAGUCUAAAGUAGAAAGUGCCCUUCCAUUACAAUCCUAAUGCAGCCAGGCUGAACAGAGCUUGCGAGGCAACUGCCUUGGGCAGGAAAAAUGCUCACACACCCCUUACUUUUCUGUGUGUAGAUCAUGUUUUACAGUGGUACCUAGGAUUAAGAACUUAAUUUGUUCCGUUGGUCCGUUCUUAACCUGAAACUGUUCUUAACCUGAGGUACCACUUUAGCUAAUGGGGCCUCCCGCUGCCACCGCACCGCCACCGCAUGAUUUCUGUUCUCAUCCUGAAGCAAAGUUCUUAACCUGAGGUACUAUUUCUGGGUUAGCGGAGUCUGUAACCUGAAGCGUCUGUAACCUGAAGUGUAACCUGGGGUACCACUGUAUCUGUAAAAUGACUCAGCCUUAGUAUUUAAAACACAUUCAAAGUUCUGAAGGGAUCAUAGAAUCAUAGAAUUGUGGAAGGGAUCCCAAGGAUCAUCUAGUUCAGCUGAUUCUCUUCCUCAGCUUCCCGCCCCUCCAUCGUCCCUCCAGAAUUUCUUUCUCACAUAUUAGGUUGUGUGGCUCGUGGCAGGCCAGGCCCUGUGGUAAGUGCCCACUCUUGCGGUGUGGCGCCCCCUCUUCCCCCCUAACUAUGCCUCUGAGGCUGAGAGCCUCCAUAGUGCCCUUCUGGAGGCUUCACCCAGGGCAGAAACCCUAGCUAGGUUCUGCUUCACCCAGGGCAGAAACACCCCACCCCAUCCCAGCUACGGCUCUGCAGAAUGAGCCAUGGUGUUUUCCCAUUUGGAUGUUUUUCCAGGAGAAAGUUGACAGAAAAAGCAUUUCUCCCUAUUUCUUAACACUGGAAUUUGGGGACAUCCAAUGAAAUGGAAUGUUGGAAGAUUCAGGACAGAUCAAAGGAAGGACUUCUUUAUGCAGUGCAGUGUUGAACUGUGAAACUUGCUUCCACAGGAGGCAAUGAUGGCCGCUAACUUGGAUGGCUUGAAAAGAGCAUUGGAAAAAUACAUGGAGGAGAGGAACUCUUUUUAAUAGCUUCUAGAUAUCAUGGUAAGUGUGUGUGUGUGUGUGUGUGUGUGUGCCCCUCCGACCAGCAACCACUGCCAAAUAAAGCUGACUAGUGCGCCUGUUCCUUUAAGUUUUAAAUAGCAUACAGUCAUACCUCAUGUUACGUCUGCUUCAUGUUAUGUUCUUUCAGGUUACGUCCCGCAGCGACUCGGAAGUACCGGAAAGGGUUACUUCCGGGUUUCGCCACUUGCGCAUGCGCAGAAGCGCAAAAUGACGUCACACGCAUGCGCAGAAGCGGCGAAUCGCAACCUGUGCGUGCGCAGAUGUGCCGCUGCGGGUUGCGCUCUUUUCAUGUUGCGAACGGGCCUCCAGAACAGAUCCCGUUCGCAACCAGAGGUACCGCUGUAUAAUGGGUAGAGGGUGAAUCAGGACCACAACCCAGGAGUGGCUAAAGCAUUUCUCCUCCUGCUGAUUCCCCAAAGAAAAUUGAUCUCCUGAGGCUAUUCCUGGACACAGCACCCCCCCUCCACUGCACCCAGUCCAAAAGCCCCUCCCCCAGACCUCUUAUUUACAUUUUUAAUCUGAGACACCUUAGUUGCAAGUACUGUACGCAAUUAACUUCAUGUGCAGAUUUGCCCUUUACAAGGAGCUACAAGCCCAGUGAUAAGGUUCAAUCAAUCUAUCAGUUUAUUACAGUCAUAGACCAGCAAUGAUGAGAUUCCUGACACCGCAGCUCUACAGUCCUGAGGUUGCAUGUUUUCUUUCCUGGCUGAUUUAUGUAGCAGUGGCCUGGUCCACGCUUCUGUCACUGGAGAAGCAUGACUAAGGAAAUACUGUAUUGUAAACACAGUGAGAGGGAUGUCAAGGGCAUCCCUCUCACUGUGUUUAAAACUCACUGUGGAUGGCAAUGUGACUUAGAAUCAUAAAAUUGGAAGGUACCACCAAAGGUCAUCCAGGCCAACCCCCUGCAGGAAUCACAGGGAAAAUCCAUCACAGAUGGCCAGCCUGUAAAAGAUAUACAUUUAAUGUGCAUGAAGUGCUCUGUUUGUGUGCAUUGUGUAUGAAACUUAGUGCAGCUUUGUACUUGCAGAAUGUCUGGGUUUUUUUAAAAAAAUAAUUUUUAUUAAGGUUUCAAUCAAAAAUUAAACAACAACAACGAAAAAGAAACAUAAAAAAGAUACACAAAUACAUAAUACAAAUCUCAGAAUUUUUUUUUAAAAAAACACAAAAAGCAAGAAUCAACAGUAAAAAGACAAAAAAACCCAAAACAUAACAAUUAAAAACAAUAUCUCUUUUCCAUUUCUGUUUUGAGUUUACUUAUUUUCUGGACUUCCUCAUACCUCCCUCUUUUGUAUUCCAAUUCAAAUUGUUUGUCCAGCAAUUUCUUUUCCACUUUUUUAAUCCCAAUCUUUAAUUUUAAUAUAAUAUGUAACUUCAACUUCUUUAAACCUAAUCUUUGAUCUUAAUGUAAUAUAAUCUUGAAAUUUUACCUCUUAAUUACCAAAUUUCCAUUUCCUUAAACAUCUUUAAUCCUAAUCCUUAAUCUUAGUCUAUCAUUAACUUUAACCUGUACAGCUGGAAACCACUUAUUUUCAGUCCAACAUCACUCUAACAUUCUUUAAUUUUGCAAUGUUUCUGAAGAUAAUCUUUGAAUUUCUUCCAAUCUUCCUCCACCAACUCUUCUCCCUGGUCACGGAUUCUGCCAGUCAUUUCCGCCAGUUCCAUAUAGUCCAUCAGUUUUGUUGUGUAUUGAGUCAAAGGAUUUUAUAUCUGUCUAAAGUAACUGCCUUUUGGUUCCAGAGGGUACAGCUACUAUUGGUUCAUUUAAGCUGCUGUAUUUGGAUCCUCUGUCUUAUUGGUUCCCUCCAAAAGGCAGGACUGUGAUUGCCUGAUAUUGUUCCCUCCAAAAUGUAUCCUUUCUUGCUAGUUCCCUGUCCCUAUAAAUGUAGCUUUCCUCUUCCCAGUCUGCAGUCUUGUUGCUUUAAUAAAGAAGUGUUACUAGAGAACUGUCUCCAGCAUGUUAUAUCAGGAGAGCUGAAAUCACAAACCCCACGUCACAACAACUGGCGAUGAGGAUGGGAUCCGGAAUGCUGAGGAGCGGUUAAACGCAGCCCUGCCUCAGAGUCCGGAUUGCAGCUAAGAACAAGACUCACUGACCAGCUGAGAAGACGACCCUGCCACAGGACAAUGGAGAGUCCAAGGGUAUUGGAGCCCUUCCAGCCAUCAGAGCCCGACACGUGGGAAGACUACGUCGAACGCUUCGAGUUCUUCGCAGAGGCUCAAGGGAUCACCGAUGCCAGCAAAAGAAGGGCCACAUUCCUGAGCUACUGUGGGCCUGAGACCUUCAAGCUGGCCAAGGCAUUGCUUGCUCCAGCGAAGCUAAGUGAGACAUCUCUCAAAGAUAUUCUUGCCUGCCUAACAAGCCACUUGGCGCCUACUGAGACCAAGAUGGCUCCGCGGAUGGAGUUUCAUAAGAGGCAGCAGCAUGCUGGGAGUCUGUAUCUGCAUUUCUGGCUGAACUGCGGAAGCUCGCUCAGCACUGCGACUUCCAAAAUCUGGAAGAGACUCUCCUGGAUCGGUUUAUCGGUGGUCUGAGCAGCAAGAAGGCCAGAAGACGCAUCGUGGCUAAAGAAGAGGUUACCCUUGCUUCAGCCUUGAAGGAGGCCACCGCCACGGAGAAUUAUGAAAGAGAGGAGCUUGAUGCCAGUCGCAAGGCCCCUAAGCCACAGAUAGAAGUUGCGCAUGCCAUGGACGAGCUAGAGGCUACUCCGAGCCAGAGCCCAGUCCGUGGGGGUCGAGUCAGUGAGUCAGGCCUGCACAGUGCACAAAGAUCACCGAGGCAGGUGCCCAGGUUGUGGCGGAAACCAUGAGCGGAAGAGUUGUCGUUUCCGGGAUGCUAUGUGCCGGACGUGCGGGAAGACAGGUCACAUCGCCAGAGUCUGUAGAUCGGCGGCGUUGGGAGCGACAGGAGCACCUAGACCGGAGCAUCGCAGACCGCCCGCAGCAACCCAUUUUCUAAAGGACUGCCACUACGUUACGGAGAUCAACGGGAGGGUCGGGAGGGUCGUGCAGUUCCCAGCACAAGGCAAGGCACACGUCAAGGUGAAGAUUGAGGGUCAGCAGUGCGACAUGGAGGUGGACUCCGGAUCUGGAUUCACUAUCGUGUCGGACCAGACCCCGAGGACAUUCUUCCCCAGGGGUAAGUUGCCCCUCUGGAACCCUUCCCGGCAACCUUGCAGUCAUACUCAGCGGGCCGCAUCCAUGUUAUGGGAAUGUGUGCCGUGAGAGUACAGUUCCGGGACAAACAGGCUGUACUCAAACUGGUGAUUGCGAAGGGCAGUCGCCCCAGUCUCCUGGGCACUGACUGGUUCCCCGCCCUGAGAUGAGCGAGGCAUUAUGCAAAGAAUUUGCUGGUCUCUUUAAUGGAAAACUGGGUUGUUAUAAAGGGCCCUCAGUUGACUCUCGAGUUGGACCCUGGGGUGGCCCCAAUCCGACUCAAACCAAGGCGAGUGGCCAUUUGCACUGCAACCCAAGAUCGAAGCAGAGCUGGAUAAAUUGGUCAAGCAGGAGUUCUCUCACCCGUGGACUCUGCUAAGUGGGAGACUCCAAUCGUCACGCCCUUAAAGCAAAUGGGGAAGUCAGGAUCUGUGCAGAUUACAAAUGUACUAUCAAUAAGGCACUCAGGGAAAACUCAUACCCCAUUCCAGUCGUAUCACAUCUGUUGGCUAAACUGGCUGGGGGCAAGGUGUUCGCCAAAAUUGACCUGGCACAAGCUUACCAACAGCUGCCAGUAACCCCACAAUCAGCGGAAGCACAGACUAUUGUCACACAUAAAGGGGCGUUCAGAGUUAACAGAUUACAAUUUGGAGUUUGUGUGGCCCCAGGGAUUUUUCAAGGGCUCAUGGAACACCUGUUAAGAGGUCUGCUGGGGGUCUUGCCAUUUUUUGAUGACGUUUUGAUUGCUGGAAAAGACCCACAGGAACUGGUUGCGCGUGUUCGUGCAGUGUUGCUCAAGUUCAAGGAAGUGGGGUUGCAACUGAAAAGGAAAAAUGCAGUUUUGGGGUGCCAACUGUGGAUUUCUUGGGGUUUAAAAUUGAUGCAUCAGGCAUCCACCCCACAGAUGCUAAGAUUAAGGCCAUCAUCGAGGCGCCACGACCACAGAACAAGACGGAGUUGCAGUCAUUCCUGGGACUUAUUAACUUUAUCAUCUGCUCUUACCCCAGAAAGCUUCGGUAGCUGAACCAUUACAUAGACUGUUGCAGAAAAAGACUGUGUGGCGAUGGGGGCAGGGGCAGCAGAAGGCUUUUGACUCUUGCGAGGAAUGCUGAGUAGCAGGAGUGUCCUUGCUCAUUAUGACGAGUCAAAGCCUCUGGUCCUGGCAUGUGAUGCCUCUCAAUACGGCCUGGGGCGGUGCUAAGUCAUAGGGAACCGGAUGGGUCGGAAGAGCCCAUCUCUUUCUAUUCCCGUGACGCUGUCGCCCACGGAGCGCAACUAUGCUCAAAUUGACAAAGAGGCGCUUGCAAUUGUGGCAGGAAUCAAAAGUUCCAUGAUUAUGUGUACGGUCGCCAUUUCUACAUUGAAACGGACCACAAGCCACUGUUAGGGUUGUUCAACCCGAACAAACAAACGCCACAAAUUCUCUCCCCAGAAUGUUACGUGGGUCGAAAUUCCUGAACGGGUUCCAGUACACCUUGACCCAUGUGCCGGGAACCGGGUGUGCCACGCGGAUGCGCUGAGUCGAUUGCCCCUUCCUGGCGGGAGCACUGAGGAUCCUGCUCCAGCGGAGCACAUAAUGAUGCGGGACACACUUCCGGGGCUCCUGUAACGGCUACUGAUAUAGCUGAGAAAACGAGGAAAGAUGCUGUUCUCUCCCGUGUGCUCACUCUGGGUGGGGAGGGGUGGCCAGGUGGUCCGCAUGAAGACAAAUUCAGGCCUUAUGCGACUAGGCAGCACGAGUUGUCCAUGCAUAAGGGUUGUCUCCUGUGGGGAGAUAGGGUCAUCAUCCCAGCACCACUGAGAAACAGGGUUCUUGAGGACGCUUCACAUGGGACACCUGGGAAUGGUCAGGAUGAAGUCGCUAGCCCGAUGUUAUGUGUGGUGGCCUGGAAUGGACCAGAACAUAGAACAAUGGGUCACGAACAUGCAAGGCAUGCCAAGAGGUGCGGCCAGAAGUGGCCAGAGCACCAGUCCACUGGUGGGAGCAGUCCAGAUCUCCCUGGAGCCGGCUGCACUUAGAUUUUGCUGGGCCAUUCCAAGGAAAGGUCUUUUUGGUUAUCGUUGAUGCAUAUUCCAAAUGGUUAGAAGUGGCGAUGGUCCCUAGCAUGGCAUCAGCUGCCGUCAUCAAGGUGUUGAGGCAGCUGUUUGCAACCCACGGGUUACCUGAGACCAUUGUAUCAGAUAAUGGGGCAGCUUUUGUAUCCCAAGAAUUCAGGGCAUUCUUGGCUGAUAACUUCAUAAGAGGGGUCACAUCCGCGCCCUUUCACCCAUCCUCCAAUGGGCAGGCUGAGCGCAUGGUAAGAACAGCCAAAGAAUCCAUUGCGCGCUUAAUGGAGGGUAACUGGUCAGCUCGCAUCGCGCAAAUGUUAUUUUUGCAGCAUGCGACGCCGUGUACCACAACGGGCAAGUCGCCAGCUGAGCUGCUCUUGGGUAGGAGACUGGUAACGGUGCUGGAUUAUGUCCACCCGGAUAAAAUGCCAAACCAUAAUUCAAGAGCAAACCCCCAGGCUGAGACUGACACAACAAGGUAUCUCGCCCCUGAAGAUCUGGUCUGGGUGAGGAACUAUUCACGAGGUUCGCGGUGGGUGGCUGGUGUGGUCACCCGGGCUAGUGGACCUGUGUCCUAUUAUGUGACCUUGGAAAAUGGGCAAGUGUGGAAGAGACAUAUAGAUCAGCUGAGGCGCCGGGCGCUCAGCAGGGAGGAGCCAGAUAAUUCAUCCCAGGCUAAUGACGCAGAGCCGCAAGACCAGAGUGAAAAUGGCCCAGAGGUGCAAUCACCAGGGGCUUUAACAAAUGAACCAGGGUCUGCUAGUCCUCACGAUGAUGAGGUACAGAUAGGGGACCCUGAGAUGUCGGGAACUCCAUCUGUUCCUGACGAAACCCCUAGAGCAGCCCCUCUACCACAGGUAACACCCAAUCCAGAACCUGCAACACCUGUUGUCAGGAGAUCAAGUAGAAGUUGUAGGCCCCCACAGUACCGGAGAGAUCACGUCUGCUGUGCUCACUAGGGGGGAAGGGGUGUUGUGUAUUGAGUCAAAGGAUUUUAUAUCUGUCUAAAGUAACUGCCUUUUGGUUCCAGAGGGUACAGCUACUAUUGGUUCAUUUAAGCUGCUGUAUUUGGAUCCUCUGUCUUAUUGGUUCCCUCCAAAAGGCAGGACUGUGAUUGCCUGAUAUUGUUCCCUCCAAAAUGUAUCCUUUCUUGCUAGUUCCCUGUCCCUAUAAAUGUAGCUUUCCUCUCCCCAGUCUGCAGUCUUGUUGCUUUAAUAAAGAAGUGUUACUAGAGAACUGUCUCCAGCAUGUUAUAUCAGGAGAGCUGAAAUCACAAACCCCACGUCACAACAACUUUCAUCUGCCAUUCCUCCAGUGUGGGAAGUUCUUGUGUCUUCCAAUACUUUGCGAUGAGUAUUCUUGCUGCUGUUGUUGCAUACAUAAAGAAAGUUCUAUCCUUUUUUAACACCAUUUGGCCAACUAUGCCCAGGAGAAAGGCCUCUGGUUUCUUAGGGAAGGUAUAUUUAAAUACCUUUUUUAAUUCAUUAUAUAUCAUUUCCCAGAAAGCCUUAAUCUUUGGGCACGUCCACCAAAGGUGAACAAAUGUACCUUCAGUUUCUUUCCAUUUCCAACAUUUAUUAUCGGGAAAAUGAUAGAUUUUUGCAAGAUUGACUGGGGUUAUGUACCACCUGUAAAUCAUUUUCAUAAUAUUCUUCUUAAGGCAUUACAUGCCGUAAAUUUCAUACCUGUGGUCCACAACUGUUCCCAGUCAGCAAAACAUAAUGUUAUGUCCAACGUCCUGUGCCCAUUUAAUCAUAGCCGAUUUUACCGUUUCAUCCUGAGUAUUCCAUUUCAGCAGCAAGUUAUACAUUCUUGACAAAUUCUUAGUUUUGGGUUCUAACAAUUCUGUUUCUAAUUUUUAUCUUUCCACCUGGAAGCCAAUUUUCUUGUCCAAUUUAAAUACCUCCAUUAUCUGAUAAUAAUGAAGCCAGUCUCGCACUUUGUUUUUUAAUUUUUCAAAACUCUGCAAUUUCAGUCUAUCUCCAUCUUGUUCCAAAAUUUCCCAAUAUUUCGGCCAUUUGACCUCCAUAUUGACCUUUCUCAAGGCUUUCGCUUCCAUUGGUGACAGCCACCUUGGGGUUUUGUUUUCUAGCAAAUCCUUAUAUCUUAUCCAAACGUUAAAUAGCUCUUUCCUGACAAUAUGGUUUCUAAAUGCUUUAUGUGCUUUGACCUUAUCAUACCACAAAUAUGCAUGCCAUCCAUGCAGAAUGUCUGUUUUGCAGGGAGCUGUAUCAAGUGCAAAGGAAGUGGAGAAAGAUGCUUGUGGAGCUUAAAGCUGUAACAAGAGUGGGAUAUUUGUUUCUGUGCUACUGAUGUUAAAUUGAUGGCUUAUCCCUGGUAGUCGAAAGCAGAAACAUUUAUAUCAACAAUUACAUCUGUGGGUGGCUAAAAACUUGAUGACUUAAAGAAGAAACAUGAAUCCCUUUGAAUAUACUUGGUAGUGAAAGAUUCUGAGUGUUUCUUAUCUUUUCUUUUUAUAUUUCAUUCUCAUUCCCGUACUUCUACCUGCUAACUUACUCUGAUAAAGACUCUGGGCAUAUUGCCAGUACAAGAGGUUUGGGCACUCUUCCAGCAUGUAUAUCAAUCUACCACAAUUCUGUUUUAAUGAAUUAUUUUCAUGGUUUUAAUAGAUUUUUAUGUGUAUACAUUCAGUUUUAAUUAUACAGAUGUCUAAUUGUUUUUUUAAUUAUUCCCCUCCCC